rnacentral:rRNA from 1 species
CUUACUACCCUGACGGG